rnacentral:rRNA from 1 species
UAGAACGCUGAAGGAGGAGCUUGCUUCUCCGGAUGAGUUGCGAACGGGUGAGUAACGCGUAGGUAACCUGCCUGGUAGCGGGGGAUAACUAUUGGAAACGAUAGCUAAUACCGCAUAAGAGUAGAUGUUGCAUGACAUUUGCUUAAAAGGUGCAAAUGCAUCACUACCAGAUGGACCUGCGUUGUAUUAGCUAGUUGGUGGGGUAACGGCUCACCAAGGCGACGAUACAUAGCCGACCUGAGAGGGUGAUCGGCCACACUGGGACUGAGACACGGCCCAGACUCCUACGGGAGGCAGCAGUAGGGAAUCUUCGGCAAUGGACGGAAGUCUGACCGAGCAACGCCGCGUGAGUGAAGAAGGUUUUCGGAUCGUAAAGCUCUGUUGUAAGAGAAGAACGAGUGUGAGAGUGGAAAGUUCACACUGUGACGGUAUCUUACCAGAAAGGGACGGCUAACUACGUGCCAGCAGCCGCGGUAAUACGUAGGUCCCGAGCGUUGUCCGGAUUUAUUGGGCGUAAAGCGAGCGCAGGCGGUUAGAUAAGUCUGAAGUUAAAGGCUGUGGCUUAACCAUAGUACGCUUUGGAAACUGUUUAACUUGAGUGCAAGAGGGGAGAGUGGAAUUCCAUGUGUAGCGGUGAAAUGCGUAGAUAUAUGGAGGAACACCGGUGGCGAAAGCGGCUCUCUGGCUUGU